rnacentral:rRNA from 1 species
GNGUUGGGAGCUCUCCCNUAUGGUCGACCUGCAGGCGGCCGCGAAUUCACUAGUGAUUAGAGUUUGAUCCUGGCUCAGAUUGAACGCUGGCGGCAGGCCUAACACAUGCAAGUCGAACGGUAACAGAAAGCAGCUUGCUGCUUUGCUGACGAGUGGCGGACGGGUGAGUAAUGUCUGGGAAACUGCCUGAUGGAGGGGGAUAACUACUGGAAACGGUAGCUAAUACCGCAUAACGUCGCAAGACCAAAGAGGGGGACCUUAGGGCCUCUUGCCAUCGGAUGUGCCCAGAUGGGAUUAGCUAGUAGGUGGGGUAACGGCUCACCUAGGCGACGAUCCCUAGCUGGUCUGAGAGGAUGACCAGCCACACUGGAACUGAGACACGGUCCAGACUCCUACGGGAGGCAGCAGUGGGGAAUAUUGCACAAUGGGCGCAAGCCUGAUGCAGCCAUGCCGCGUGUAUGAAGAAGGCCUUCGGGUUGUAAAGUACUUUCAGCGGGGAGGAAGGGAGUAAAGUUAAUACCUUUGCUCAUUGACGUUACCCGCAGAAGAAGCACCGGCUAACUCCGUGCCAGCAGCCGCGGUAAUACGGANGGUGCAAGCGUUAAUCGGAAUUACUGGGCGUAAAGCGCACGCANGCNGUUUGUUAANNCANAUGUGAAAUCCCCNGGGCUCAACCUGGAACUNGCAUCUGAUACUGGCAAGCUUGANUCUCGNAGAGGGGGGUAGAAUUCCAGNUNU